rnacentral:rRNA from 1 species
AUUGAACGCUGGCGGCAUGCUUUACACAUGCAAGUCGGACGGCAGCACAGAGACGCUUGCUUCUUGGGUGGCGAGUGGCGAACGGGUGAGUAACAUAUCGGAACGUACCGAGCAGUGGGGGAUAACUAAUCGAAAGAUUAGCUAAUACCGCAUAUCUUCUGAGGAAGAAAGCAGGGGACCAUUUGGCCUUGCGCUGUUUGAGCGGCCGAUAUCUGAUUAGCUAGUUGGUGGGGUAAAGGCCUACCAAGGCGACGAUCAGUAGCGGGUCUGAGAGGAUGAUCCGCCACACUGGGACUGAGACACGGCCCAGACUCCUACGGGAGGCAGCAGUGGGGAAUUUUGGACAAUGGGCGCAAGCCUGAUCCAGCCAUGCCGCGUGUCUGAAGAAGGCCUUCGGGUUGUAAAGGACUUUUGUCAGGGAAGAAAAGGGCGGGGUUAAUACCCCUGUCUGAUGACGGUACCUGAAGAAUAAGCACCGGCUAACUACGU